GGAGCUGGAGGCUGAGGCUGACGCUUGCACGUCCAAAGGCCAGACGUCCAAAGGCCAGCGGUGGAGAUGGGAGCCUAGAGAUAAUGCUUAAACCUCUGUAAACUGUGGCAGCAGCCCAGCGCACGUGGCCCAGUAGUAAUGCACUGGGUAAACAAAAACAGCCAUAACACAAGCACCCACUAUCAGAGUAGGCUGCCUGACUUAAUCACUUACGGGGUCUUUGGCAAGCUGUCCUGUGGGUUUGAGAAAUGGUAGUUCAGGAUUAACCUAGAAAAUGUACAGGCAGCUUUCUCUGAGGCACUCCUGGUAUCCUCUUGGAAUUGAAUAGUGGCUUCGCUCCUUCACAGCACCGACAGGCUUUGUUUUCUUUGUAUUUUUGUAGUCUCUUUGAGUAGAUGGUUGAAUAAGCAACAAAACUGAUGUUUUACUUACUUUGCUGAUAACAUUCUCUGAUAAAUGAUACCCUGUAACCAGGACGCACCCAGUCAAGCACAGUGCAUUUAGUCACUCUUCCUCACCCUCCUACGCCUUCAGCCUUCCCUGCCGCUGUAGUGAGCUUCCCAAGUAACAAGUUUGUGCUGCUCCUUGCUGAGACAGGGGUGAGAUUGUCUUUUGCAGCUGCCACCCUUGUAGGAGAAAUUUGACUCAUUUUCUGAUGAAUACAGAAGCUGCAGCCCCUGUUAAGGCCUGCCGCUUUGCCAGAUGCAAGCUGAUUCAUGGGUGGCUGUUGUUCAUUAUACCCAUAAUUGGAAAGUGACAUUGUUUUUGGCUUAGAAACCAGAACAAUUCCACAGCGUAUCCAGUCAAACACCCGACAGUUGUUGAAGUGGCAUUUUUUCUUCAGAAGGACAGAUAGUAAUUGGAGAGUUUGAAGUCUUUUCCCCAGCUAAAAGUGGACCACAGUGUACAAAAUAUUGACAGCAAACGGAUUCUUCUAGUGACAUUUUGAUGGUCACUGUAACUCGCUGCAAGUUAGGAGUGAGCUGACUGGUGGACUUGAAGCAAGAGAAGAAGACCAAAGACCAAGAGUCCUACUGUUAUGGAGAUGGGCAACGCUGUACCAGCAGAGGGGUUUCUCGGGUAUGGCAUGGCUGGGGUUUAUGGAUUCUACACUUCGGACAAGACUUUGUGGUGAUUCUACCAAAGUACUUGUUUGGCUCUGAAUUUGAUGUAUCACCAUCUAACAGAUCAACUGCUUUUAAUACGUGAGAAUUCAAGUAAAAAUAUCUGGUGCUGAAGUGAAUAAUUAAUGAGGAAUGGCAGCAGGAGUGAACUUACUUCCAGCCUCCAUGAAAGCUUCAGGAAGGAAAAGUUGCAUCCAGCUCCUCGGGGCUCAGAGACGAUAUCGCCACCAUAACGCGCUGAGUUGAUGAUGAGAGUACCUCCACCACCGAGCUCCGGCGCCUCUGGAUUAUGCGGAGAAGGGGAUCGGAGGAAGAAUGCCUCCGGCCCUGGAAAAAGUUGCUAAAAAUACUCGCAGCUGAACGCCUCCGGGGUACUGAACAGGAACGGAGUGACUGAAUUUUGAAUACUGCUCCCCAGCUCUUAAGACAUGGUAAGGUUUUCUGUAGAUACCAGGCAUUAAUCGUUGGUAGUGAUGUGAUAUGAGAAAAGGAGAACGUUAAAGCUGACCAUUAGCUGUCAUCUCAAAGAUCUGACUAUCCUAAUAAAGCUGAUAUUAGGAGAUGAGAAAAUAUUUGAAUAUGUUUUUAUAUUGGGUGUUAGGUUGAAGAAGGAAGGAGAUGAAAGAGGCUACUUCAAGUGCUACCUAUAUCCAGCAAACGCAAAAAAAAAUGCUUUCCAGUUAAUUAUAUGGCUUUCUUAUAUUUAAUUCUUAUUCUUUCUCUUCCCAGAAUCUUUUUUUCAGGAUAUAUUAAAUGAUGGAGUCAGAAAUGAGCAAGAUAAAAUGCUGCACACCAUAUUUUUCCAUUGAAUCUACCAUGAUUUGCAAGUACUCACCCAAAGUAAGACUUGAAAUAUUUUAUUAUAGAGUUCUUUUUGUUGAAGAGGUGUUUGUACUUUCAGAGAGCAAGGCGGUUUCUGAACAUGGAAAUGACAUAGUUUCUUAAUUAAGAGACUUGACAAUAUGGAAGUAACAUAAAAGCUUAAAAACACAUCACAGUGAUAAUGUUAUGCAGUUUGUUUUUGUUAGAGACAUUUUAACAUUAUAAUUUGAUAAUAAUACAUCUUUUCCCUAUGGAAAAAAAAUGAUAAUUUCUUUAAGCACUUUUUAAGAAUGGCAUAUCAGAG